CUGCCUCAGCCUCCCUAAGAGCUGGGACCAUAGGCAUGCACAAGCACACCCAGAUAAUUUUUUGAAUUUUUUGUACAGACAGGGAUGUACUCCCUUUGUGCCACAGAUUGAACUUGACAGAUGGCCCACAGGGUUAGAGGGGGCUUUCAGGAACCUGUCUGGCCUCUAUUGUUUAUGAACCACAAGAUCUUGGCAGGUUCCUUAACCUCUCUGUCCUCUGUUUCCUCAUCUGUGAAAUGGAGAGAAUGGCUCCAACCUCUGCCUUGUUGUGAGGGUGCACUGAAGUAAUGUGUGUGUAACAGAUUCGGGACAGCCCAGGGCACACAGUGAGGGCACUACUCCGGUCAGCCAGCGCUCUUAGGAGGACAUGUGCUUCAUCCCAUCGAAUCCUCACCAGCCACGUGUGAGGAGCGCUCCACUUUACAGAUGAGGAAACAGGCUUGGCAACAUCAGGUAACCUGCCUGAGGCCACCUGGCCUCGCUUCUGCGCAGGCAGAAGCCCCACCCUGGCCUGGGAAAGCCUGGGAACCAGUGCCACAUCCUGAUGGGGAUGGAGACAGGGAAGAGUCAGCCUCCUGCCCUCCGAUGCCCUGAGGAACCGCCUCCAGACGAAGAGGAGUUGCCGGUCUCCCUGGCCUGCCAGGAAAAGGUGCUGAUCUCUCUCUGAAACCCAAGGGUCAGUUCAAGAGACAGGAAUUGUGACUGACUGUUGCUCCCCCACGAAUAUCAGCAUCAUGAGGGCAGGGACUUUUGCAGCUUUAUUUACAGCAGUUUUAUCAUCUGUUAUAUCUCCAGACCUAGACUGCCAUUCAGACACACCAUAGGUGCUCAGCUACUUCCUUGAGGGCUGAGCAGCACCUUGAUGGUGGAGAGUCUCCCGAAUCUAACACAAUGUACAGUAGGUGAGCGUAGUAAUGUGCUGUCACCUAGUGGGUUUGAGUAGUGGUAUGUUCCUAUAUACCAGCCGUAAAGGUGCCUGCACUUUUUCUGGGAGGGUGGGCCGAGUUUAGAACCCCUAAACCGCUUCAUCAGCAAGGCCCCUGGUGUGAUUGUAGAGAUUGUACACUGCACAAAGGCACCCAGACAAGGGGCCCACUGGGGCUGAAAUUGGUGCCCAAGCCACGUGUCCGUGGACUGCUCAGUACAGGCAGCUUUUCUCAUUUUUACAAAUAUGCAAUGGAGGUGAUCAGUGGAUUUGUUCCUCAGCCCCUAAGUGGAAUUCUCCCUGCAGUGCCUCUGACCUUAGGAGUCCUAAGCAGCUGGUCAGGAUGGGCUAAAAGUCUGACCUUCAGAUUGGCCCAAAUGAAUGUUGUUGGGGCGGAGGAAGUGGUUACAGACUUUUGGGUGAAGCUGGCCAUGCAGGAAAAACUGUAAUUCUGAUUCUGACCUUACACCGGCUCUGUGACCUCAAGUUAGUGAAACACAAAUGGGAUUUUGAUUUCUUUAAUUCCAAAGUUGACUCGGGGGUGCCAGCUGGGGGGUAGGGUGGGAGUUCUGAGAGGAAACAGUGCUGAAAAUAGUUUGGGGACAUUCUGUAAGUUGAAAACUGCUGAGCAGCCCUAAAUGAUGCCUGGAGAUUUCUCCUCAUGGGGAACAAAAGGGUAACAAUUGGAGGGUUUCCUGCUUGGCCCUUCAGUUAAGACUUUGGCUCUGGUCUCUCCGGCUGCCACAGAAUCACUGAUUGUUGAGGAUCAGCCGUGGGGCAUCGUCUGAACACAGUAGCCCAUUGCAAAUAUAGUUUGCGUGUGUUUUCAAGUCUUGGUGGCCAAGGGCUGGGCUGACCCCAAGAGCGAAGAAGCAGGACGGGGAGGCAAAGACAGCUGCGAGGAGGGAGUGAGGGAGCUGCUGGAGGAAGCACUGUGGGUCUAUUUUAAGACUGGAAAAUUGGAAAGCUCAGGAAGUACAAUGUGUUUCAGUAAGGGGGCCCAGCAAUCCCUGGCCUUCGCUGGGAUAUUUCCCCUGAGGUGAGAGUACAAAAGGACUGAACAUUUCUAUUUACCAAAAUGCUGAGGCCAGAGCCCAUGGGAGCCGGGAAGGGGAGAGGAGUGGGGAGGACAACCAAGUGUUUAAACCAGAUAGAACCCACGGGUGUGUUGGUGGUUCUGGACCUUGGCUAUGGAUCAGAAUGGCCCUCUCUGGGCCAGAACUGAAAACCACUGGGCAGUGGAAUAAUGGAGAGAUUGGCAGACGAUGGCCUGUGGGCCAAAGCUAGCCUAGCAUCUGUUUUUGUAAAUGAAGUUGUAUUGGAACACUGCCAUGCUCAAUUGUUUGUAUAUCAUCUGUGUCUGCUUUUGAACAGAGUUGAGUAUUUGCGACAGAGACCUUAUGUCCUAUGAAGUCUAAAAUAUUUAUUAUCUACCCCUGUACAGAGAAAAUCUGUCAGUGACACAAGGGUCACUAGGCUUGGGGGUCUAAAAACUUGGGUUCAGUUCUAGUGUACCUAUAUCCCUAUCUGGUGACCCAGGGGAAAGCUUUAGCUUCUCCAGUUUCUUUCUCUGUUUCUUUCUCUGUAAAUCAAGUAGCAAUGCCCAUCUUACCCAGGUGUGAAUAUUGAAUAGAUAAUAUAUUUAUUGUACUCCUCUAAGGUCUUUUUAGUUAUUAUUUUAGAUAUUACAACAUACAACCUUAUUAUAAUCUUCCUUGAGUUAAUAUUGUACCACUUUACAAACAAGGUAAAAAUUGAACCAUUCUUGCAACAGUUUCCCUUCCCUGUCCUUUGAGGUAUACACUUUUUCUACAUAUUUUAUAAAUCCCAUAUAAAUGCAUAUUAUUUUUGCUUCAGACAGUCAAGUCUUCAAAGAAAUUUUAAAAAGAAAAAAUACUUUUAUAUUUACCCCAAUAGUUACCAUUUCUGGAGUUUUUUUCUCCUUCUUGUAGUUCUGGGCUUCAAUCUGAGAUAAAUUCCCUUUAGCUUAAAGCAUUUUCUUUAGUGUUUCUUACAGUGGUUCUUCUGGCAGUAAGUUCUCAUAGCUUUGGUUUGAGAAACCUUUCUUUCCCUAUUCCAUACUGGAUAUAGCCUUCUUGCAUGGUACUUUUUUUUUUUUUUUCCAACAUUUUAGAUAUCAUUUCAUUGACU